rnacentral:rRNA from 1 species
GUCUUUUUGAUUAUAUUAAAAGUCUAACCUGCCCAUUGAAUAAUAAAUUAAAAGGCUGCGGUAUUUUGACCGUACAAAGGUAGCAUAAUCAUUAGUUUUUUAAUUGAAAACUUGUAUGAAUGGUUGAAUGAGAAAUUGACUUUCUUUAAUAAAAUAUUGAAUUUUACUUUUUAGUUAAAAGGCUAAAAUUUUAUUAAAAGACGAGAAGACCCUAUAGAGUUUUAUAAAUUUAUUAUUUAUUAUUAAUUAAGUUUAUUUAUAAUUAAUAUAUAUUAAUUUAUUUUGUUGGGGUGACAUUAAAAUUUAUAAAACUUUUAUUAUAGAUAAUAAUAUUUACAUAAAUAAAUGAAUAGUUGAUCCAUUAUUAAUGAUUAUAAUUUUAAAUUACCUUAGGGAUAACAGCGUAAUUUUUUUUUAAGUUCUUAUUAAUAAAAGAUUUUGCGACCUCGAUGUUGGAUUAAGAUUAAAUUUUAGGUGCAGCGGCUUAAAUUUUAAGUCUGUUCGACUUUUAAAUUCUU